rnacentral:rRNA from 1 species
GACGAACGCUGGCGGCGUGCUUAACACAUGCAAGUCGAACGGAGAGGCCUGCUUUUGUGGGGUGCUCGAGUGGCGAACGGGUGAGUAACACGUGAGUAACCUGCCCUUGACUUUGGGAUAACUUCAGGAAACUGGGGCUAAUACCGGAUAGGAGCUCCUGCUGCAUGGUGGGGGUUGGAAAGUUUCGGCGGUUGGGGAUGGACUCGCGGCUUAUCAGCUUGUUGGUGGGGUAGUGGCUUACCAAGGCUUUGACGGGUAGCCGGCCUGAGAGGGUGACCGGCCACAUUGGGACUGAGAUACGGCCCAGACUCCUACGGGAGGCAGCAGUGGGGAAUAUUGCACAAUGGGCGGAAGCCUGAUGCAGCAACGCCGCGUGCGGGAUGACGGCCUUCGGGUUGUAAACCGCUUUCGCCUGUGACGAAGCGUGAGUGACGGUAAUGGGUAAAGAAGCACCGGCUAACUACGUG